UCCGCCGAGAGGCGCUGCAACGGACAACGACGUCCGCCACGCUCGGCCGGGCUCACGACGACUCAAGGGCGCCUCCUGAUG
rnacentral:ncRNA from 1 species